AACAAAAAAAGGCUUAUUCUGGCCUGUUUCAGAGACAAGGUGCUGGACCAGUCGUGCGUGGAUUGGAGUGGGGAUUCCUGGCUGGCCUCAGGACAGAAAUGUCUUCUAGGGAACAGAAUGAUUGGUGUAACAGUUAAUUUUGUGCUGCAGGCUGGAAAAAUGCGUGGAAGCUAAAGAGGAGCUGGAGGCAGACCUUUACAGCAGGUUUGUUUUGGUGCUGAAUGAAAAGAAGGCAAAGAUAAGAAACUUGCAGAAGUUGUUGAGUGAAGCUAAAGAAUCUGCAGCGGAUGCCAAGUGUGCAAGGGAUAGUAUCGCUGCUACUCAGAUGGUUGUAAAGAGAGAAAACGACUAUGAUGCCAGCACUGAUGAGGAAAGUGAAAAUCCAGCACGGGCCUCGUUGCCAUCAGCUCUGGAACGAAGGGAUUCCUCCCUGCUGGGCAGCCCAGACGUCGUGGACCCAGCUCCCAGGAGAAAAAGAAGGCAAAGGACAGCAAAACCUGCAGGGACAGGAGCUAAGGUGGCUGCUUACGAGGCAGAGCAGCCAGCCC